GCCAGACUCCUACGGGAGGCAGCAGUGGGGGAUAUUGCACAAUGGGGGAAACCCUGAUGCAGCGACGCCGCGUGAGUGAAGAAGUAUUUCGGUAUGUAAAGCUCUAUCAGCAGGGAAGAAAAAAGACGGUACCUGACUAAGAAGCCCCGGCUAACUACGUGCCAGCAGCCGCGGUAAUACGUAGGGGGCAAGCGUUAUCCGGAUUUACUGGGUGUAAAGGGAGCGUAGACGGCAAUACAAGUCGGAAGUGAAAUACCCGGGCUCAACCUGGGAACUGCUUUGGAAACUGUAUGGCUGGAGUGCUGGAGAGGUAAGCGGAAUUCCUAGUGUAGCGGUGAAAUGCGUAGAUAUUAGGAAGAACACCAGUGGCGAAGGCGGCUUACUGGACAGUAACUGACGUUGAGGCUCGAAAGCGUGGGGAGCAAACAGGAUUAGAUACCCUCGUAAC
rnacentral:rRNA from 1 species